CCUUCACCAUAUCUCUUACUCCAGCCCGCUACUUCCCUCACUUCAUUUCCUGUUCUCCUGGAUCCCCUUUCUCGUCUAGCUCGCUGGGGAAGCCAGUCGCCGUUGCAACACCAGCCUCAGGAAUCGGCGGGAUACGCUAGCCCUCAGUCCAGAUCAACGUCCAUGCCUCCGGCUUCGACACGCAGGCCCGCUGGACGCCGCCAUGAACCACCUUGUUUUUCCGCAGCCUCUUGGACCGAGGCCACCUUCGUUGGUUCCGCCGGCCGCCAUUGCGAUGCCGCGGUCAUCUUUCUCACCGAACAGCUCCAGAGACUAUGACGGGCUCCGUGUUGUCCGCAUCUCCUCUGGACAAUGGAUUCAAAGCCACAGGUCCAUCCUACUUCUUCCCUGACGUUGACCGCCAUUGUCACUGUCCGGAGCUCAUUGCUCUGCUCCGUCCGACCUUGCCACUUACAGCAUGGGUUUCUUCAUCGUUUCAAUAGAGUCAGGCAAUGAGGGGAAUUAUGAGUUCGAUCCGCAGCUUCAUCAGGACAUUGACCAGGAAGGCAAGCAUCAUGAAUUCCCUAGCUUAUGUUUUACUUAUGUUGAAGGAUUAUACUAUCUUGUUGCUCGUGUUGGUUACCAUGUCGUACCUUUCUUUGCAAUAUCCAUGUUUAGGACACGCAACAGGAACCGGUAGUUUAACCAGAGAAGGAACUUCAUUCUCUCACACUUGAUAUGAUAGCAUUUAUCAGAUCAGGUUAUAGAAGCAAAUAUUAAGUACCAUCAGACUGAUGUCUGAUUCUCUCUGAAUUACACUGCCUAUCCACUAUUAUUGUUGUCCAUGUGGAGCAGGGCUUGUAAAUAAACAUAUAUACUGUUGUAGUCAAGUUAACUUGAAUUAGCUAGGAUGAAUCGGACACUUUUGCAAUUUCCAUAAAUAGAUCAACAGGUUAGUCAUCCGCAUGAGACGACCGAUCUAUUCUUGUUAACAAUGAAACAAAUAUCGAUUUCAAUCACGAAGAAUAACUACACUUCUGUGUUUGUCUCAGAAGUAAAACUUUUCUAUUUUGACCAUGUCUCUAGGAAAAACAUUGACUGAAAACUGAAAUAAUACUGUGCUAUUGGUCAAGGUAUGCCUGGAAGUGGGCGAGCCAGCUUGAUCUGGUGAUGAUUCACCUGAAGAAUUGACCUGCUGGCACGAUGUGUAGAGGGGAGGGAGCUGAUCUUGCGGGUGAGGAAGCAGAUCUUGCAAUCGAACUCAUCUUUCCGACGCAGAUGAACACUGACGAUGGAAUGGAAAAGAGAGGGUGGGUGAGAAUGCUGGUGCACAGAGCGGAGAAGAAAGGGAUGGAUAAGGUCACGUCUUUAGCAAUUGAGCAAGUGGAACAACCUCGCCUCGUCCAAUAUCCCGUGCCGGCCCAGUAUAUACCAGAGCUUAUGAUUUUUCCUCUUCUGUAAGCCCAGAACACAAUAUAAAUAUGAAUUGGAACAACCAAAUUGUAUUAA